UGUAAAGCGUUGAUGAGGAGAAGUAAAGAAAGGAUGCUUAAUAGAGAGAACCACCGGUGGCUGGAAGUGGUUUAAGCCCCUCCUUUUUUGAAAUGCACCUCUGAGUCUGAAUCCGAAAAUUAUUUAGUAGGAUAAAGCGGGUCCUCUCGUUAACAGGAAAAGUUGGGUUGCAGCUCGUUAUAGCUUGCAAUCAAACAGAGUGGAACCGCGCAAAGGGAGCGUCUCUGUC
rnacentral:ncRNA from 1 species